CACAUUAACUGUAAAGUGUAACAAAGUCACAAUGCCAAUGGAUAUAUACAUAUUCCCUACUCUUGUUGAAAAUCUAUUGUGAAUCUAACACAAUUUCAAUGUUGAUACUUUAUUACAUUUUGUAUUCUAUACCUACUGAUACCAAAAUGGAUAUCACAAUACUGUCACGAAAUGUGAGUAAUAACUGCAGAAUAGCAUAUUGUAACAGCAGAACAUUCGUGUCCCAGUGGAUAUAGCGUUAAUUGGCGUUAAUCCAUCAAGUACUACCUAAAAGGAAUCUAACUCUGUGUAAACACUAAUCCUCCCCAACGGCACCAUUCCGGCGUCUAUAGCAUUCAGUCGUUUAUAAGUACCAGCCCGCCGUAGAUAUACAAGCCCCAGAACACAAAGGCCUCGCAGAUUUCACCACAUUUACCACUUUAUUAGGGGUGCAAGAUAUGCAAGAUAUGCAAGAUACAUGCAAAACUGGAGUCAGAAAAGUAAACCUAUUACUUCACGAAGUGGUUUGAUCUUCCACCAAGCACCACCGCCCACUUCAAGAUAUAUCUUCGAUCAGCUCUAUAACAGACUACUGGACUGUGGAUGUGUCAGACUAUAUAAUACAGAGUGUCCUAACUCAUCAGUCUGGGACAGAAUCCAGUGUUGCAGAGGCUGUGGCUAAAUGCUUGAAAUAUGCACCUGAUAGGAUUGGAGGAGGUGGACGGAAAGUCUCAAAUGAAGCAUCACCAGGUUCAUCUGACCAUCCUGGUCCCUGUUCAUCCGUGUCCAAGUCUGACCACUCUACGGCAACAAUCAAAAAGAGAAAGUUUGUACAUGAAGAGGUGUCACCUCCUUCAAGCAAUUCGUCUGGAACAACAAUGCUUUUACCACUGGAAAUUGAUGAAAUGUCAUCUGAGUCUUUGUUGGAAAAUGAAAGCUCUGAUGAGUGAUGAAUAUAUAUAUGUAUAGGGAAACUCAAUUUAGUUUCUGCAAGGUACAUGAACAGCCGGAGUAGAGAAGAGGGGGAUGAGAGGUCUCAUACUUCUAGAACCUUUAUUUUCUGCUCUGAUUGCGUCACCCUCCUUUUGUUGGAGGAAAUUGGCCGUAGCAUAUAGAUACUUAGUAAAGUAACCGAGUAGUAUAUCCACUUUGCUGCAACUGUAAUAUAUACUCCUGCAAAUACCUAUGCAUUAAAUAUCCAAAUGCAAAGUUAUGAUUUCAUAUUGGUCACUACAAACAUGCAUUAAUGUGUUGUAGCUUAACUUUUGUAUCCUAUGUACUUUGUACUAUGUACUUAGCUAACAUACAAGUCCAUGUAGUGAAAAACGCCUUUACAAGAUGUUUUAUGCAAAUGACAUGAAAGGUAAAGAUAAUAAUAAUAAUGUUGGUACACAUAUACAGACACUUUAUUUUUACCUACUGCAACUGUUUCUGUAACUUUCCCCAGUUUCAAAAUGAUGUUACCUACUCUGAGAAACCAUUGUUCAGUAAUGUUAAACUCAAAAUCAACUUAAAUUUUAGCUAAAGUCAAGUGUUUACAAGUUAUUCAUGUGUUCAGUAUGGGUGAUGUUUAAUGUGGUAUUGGAAUAGCCCUUUUAAUGUGUGUACUGAAAUGACGAUGAAAUACCUAUUGAUUUUCAGUAUGUAAACUAAGCUUAAUUGUGUACCAGUUGCACAUAACUAACUUUAUAGUCUAUCCAAUCUUGGUCCUCACUUUCUAAUGUGAUAGCUAAAAUAACUCAUAAAUGUUGAGUUGGUAGUAAUGAAAAUCUGUACAUUUCUUUUCCAGACUAUAUCUCACUACCAGAAACAAUGCAAAGACCUUUCCUGAGACAAAGUCCAUGGUUCUGGGUCAUGGUGAAGCAUAUGUCGGAUUUACAUUCAAUCUAAGCUCAAGAUCGAAUACAGACAGCAUGUGCUUCACCAAAGACUAUAGACUAGACUGUUUACUGAUGUUAGUAUAGUCUGGUGAACAAUUUUCACGACCUGGAGCAAUGCUGAAAAUCUAAUGUUGAUUCUACGUCGGGUGAGCAACGUCAGUUUUUCAACUGGAAUUCAACGGGAAUUCCAACAUUGAAAAACAGAGCAUGAUUCAACGUUGAAAACCAGAUGUCAGUUCAAUGUUGAAAUUCCACCAUUGAUUAUACGUUGGAAAUAUUACAUUAAAAAAACUUUCAAAAUCAAUCAAUUCUCAACGUAGAUUCUACGUAAGGGCCUGACGCAAAAUCAACGUUGAUGUGCCUGCUGGGAAAGUCAUCAUUAUCCUUGACGGUGAAGGCCUCAGUCAUCGUCAAAUAGCACAGCCGACUGGUGUGUCUGUCUCUAACGUAUGAAUGGGUCUGCAGACAACACGUGGCCACAGGCUCCACUAGUGACAGGCCUCAAAGCCUUGCAGCAGAUUUUUAACAGUGUAAUCACAGCAGGGGUGCAUAGACUCAUUAUUAAAUAGAUACCUAUCAUCCUCAUAUAUCGUAUAGCUAUGGUGCAGUAUGUGCUUUACGUAUUAAUUUUGGCAGAUAUUAUAAUUCUGUAUACUUUUACUGGCAAUGAAUAGGGACCAUUAAGAAACAUGAUCCCCGCUGCUACCACUGGGUUAACCCUUCAACUAACAUGCUGUAUGUAUCCCACCAUUGCCUGAGUGUAAUGGGGGAGGAAUGGGUACCUUGGGGAGGGCCUGGACCCCAUUAGAGUAAACCCCAUUGAUUCUACUGUUUGGCAAGUG